GAUGAAGAACGUAGCGAAAUGCGAUAAGUAAUGUGAAUUGCAGAAUUCAGUGAAUCAUCGAAUCUUUGAACGCACAUUGCGCCCGCCAGUAUUCUGGCGGGCAUGCCUGUUCGAGCGUCAUUUCAACCAUCAAGCCCCCCGGCUUGUGUUGGGGACCUGCGGCUGCCGCAGGCCCUGAAAAGCAGUGGCGGGCUCGCUGUCACACCGAGCGUAGUAGAUCUCAUCUCGCUCAGGGCGUGCUGCGGGUUCCGGCCGUUAAACCACCUUCAUAACCCAAGGUUGACCUCGGAUCAGGUAGGAAGACCCGCUGAACUUAAGCAUAUCAAUAGCGGAGGA
rnacentral:misc_RNA from 1 species